rnacentral:rRNA from 1 species
GAGUUUGAUCGUGGCUCAGAUUGAACGCUGGCGGCAGGCCUAACACAUGCAAGUCGAGCGGUAGAGAGAAGCUUGCUUCUCUUGAGAGCGGCGGACGGGUGAGUAAUGCCUAGGAAUCUGCCUGGUAGUGGGGGAUAACGCUCGGAAACGGACGCUAAUACCGCAUACGUCCUACGGGAGAAAGCAGGGGACCUUCGGGCCUUGCGCUAUCAGAUGAGCCUAGGUCGGAUUAGCUAGUUGGUGAGGUAAUGGCUCACCAAGGCGACGAUCCGUAACUGGUCUGAGAGGAUGAUCAGUCACACUGGAACUGAGACACGGUCCAGACUCCUACGGGAGGCAGCAGUGGGGAAUAUUGGACAAUGGGCGAAAGCCUGAUCCAGCCAUGCCGCGUGUGUGAAGAAGGGUCUUCGGAUUGUAAGGCACUUUAAGUUGGGAGGAAGGGCAGUAAAUUAAUACUUUGCUGUUUUGACGUUACCGACAGAAUAAGCGCCGGCUAACUCUGUGACAGCCGCCG